GACGAACGCUGGCGGCGUGCUUAACACAUGCAAGUCGAACGGAAAGGCCCUGCUUUUGUGGGGUGCUCGAGUGGCGAACGGGUGAGUAACACGUGAGUAACCUGCCCUUGACUUUGGGAUAACUUCAGGAAACUGGGGCUAAUACCGGAUAGGAGCUCCUGCUGCAUGGUGGGGGUUGGAAAGUUUCGGCGGUUGGGGAUGGACUCGCGGCUUAUCAGCUUGUUGGUGGGGUAGUGGCUUACCAAGGCUUUGACGGGUAGCCGGCCUGAGAGGGUGACCGGCCACAUUGGGACUGAGAUACGGCACAGACUCCUAAGGGAGGCAGCAGUGGGGAAUAUUGCACAAUGGGCGGAAGCCUGAUGAAGCAACGCCGCGUGCGGGAUGACGGCCUUCGGGUUGUAAACCGCUUUCGCCUGUGACGAAGCGUGAGUGACGGUAAUGGGUAAAGAAGCACCGGCUAACUACGUG
rnacentral:rRNA from 1 species